GAUGAACGCUAGCUACAGGCUUAACACAUGCAAGUCGAGGGGGUAACGAGAGGAAAGCUUGCUUUCCUUGUCGACGACCGGCGCACGGGUGAGUAACGCGUAUCCAACCUGCCCCCAACUAGGGAAUAACCUUGCGAAAGUAAGACUAAUACCCUAUAAUUUCCUCAGAUGACAUCUGACGAGGAAUAAAGAUUUAUCGGUUGUGGAUGGGGAUGCGUCUGAUUAGCUUGUUGGCGGGGUAACGGCCCACCAAGGCAACGAUCAGUAGGGGUUCUGAGAGGAAGGUCCCCCACAUUGGAACUGAGACACGGUCCAAACUCCUACGGGAGGCAGCAGUGAGGAAUAUUGGUCAAUGGGCGGAAGCUUGAACCAGCCAAGUAGCGUGCAGGAUGACGGCCCUAUGGGUUGUAAACUGCUUUUAUACAGGAAUAAAGUUAGCCACGUGUGGUUAUUUGUAGGUACUGUAUGAAUAAGGACCGGCUAAUUCCGUGCCAGCAGCCGCCGUAA
rnacentral:rRNA from 1 species